rnacentral:lncRNA from 1 species
CUAGGAAUGCCAGAAUCACCUCCGCAGAUAUGGAAAUGUGAAUCUGGAACUGGUGACUCGAAUCAUUAGAGAUGGUGGCCCAUGGGAAGAUCCAGUGUUGCAAGCUGUCCUUAAAGCUCAGCCAGCAUCUCAGGAGAUAGUGAACAAAUAUUUAAGUUCUGAAAAUCCACUGUUCUUUGAACUACGUGCCAGAUACCUAAUUGCUUGUGAACGCAUACCCGAAGCAAUGGCUCUUAUUAAAUCUUGUAUAAAUCACCCAGAAAUCAGUAAAGACUUAUACUUCCAUCAAGCACUCUUCACAUGUCUGUUUAUGUCA